UGGGGAAUAUUGCACAAUGGGCGCAAGCCUGAUGCAGCCAUGCCGCGUGUAUGAAGAAGGCCUUCGGGUUGUAAAGUACUUUCAGUCGGGAGGAAGGUGGUAAGGUUAAUAACCUUGGCAAUUGACGUUACCGACAGAAGAAGCACCGGCUAACUCCGUGCCAGCAGCCGCGGUAAUACGGAGGGUGCAAGCGUUAAUCGGAAUUACUGGGCGUAAAGCGCACGCAGGCGGUCUGUCAAGUCGGAUGUGAAAUCCCCGGGCUCAACCUGGGAACUGCAUUCGAAACUGGCAGGCUAGAGUCAUGUAGAGGGGGGUAGAAUUCCAGGUGUAGCGGUGAAAUGCGUAGAGAUCUGGAGGAAUACCGGUGGCGAAGGCGGCCCCCUGGACAAAGACUGACGCUCAGGUGCGAAAGCGUGGGGAGCAAACAGG
rnacentral:rRNA from 1 species